GUGUCAGCAGCCGCGGUAAUACGUAGGGUCCGAGCGUUGUCCGGAAUUAUUGGGCGUAAAGGGCUCGUAGGCGGUUUGUCGCGUCGGGAGUGAAAACCAGAGGCUUAACUUCUGGCUUGCUUUCGAUACGGGCAGACUUGAGGCAUGCAGGGGAGAACGGAAUUCCUGGUGUAGCGGUGAAAUGCGCAGAUAUCAGGAGGAACACCGGUGGCGAAGGCGGUUCUCUGGGCAUGUUCUGACGCUGAGGAGCGAAAGUGUGGGGAGCGAACAGGAUUAGAUACCCGAGUAGUCC
rnacentral:rRNA from 1 species